rnacentral:rRNA from 1 species
GACGAACGCUGGCGGCGUGCUUAACACAUGCAAGUCGAACGGAAAGACCCUGCUUUUGUGUGGUGCUCGAGUGGCGAACGGGUGAGUAACACGUGAGUAACCUGCCCUUGACUGUGGGAUAACUUCAGGAAACUGGGGCUAAUACCGGAUAUGAGCUCCUGCUGCGUGGUGUGGGUUGGAAAGUUUCGGCGGUUGGGGAUGGACUCGCGGCUUAUCAGCUUGUUGGUGUGGUAGUUGCUUACCAAGGCUUUGACGGGUAGCCGGCCUGAGAGGGUGACCGGCCACAUUGGGACUGAGAUACGGAGCAGACUCCUACGGGAGGCAGUAGUGGGGAAUAUUGCACAAUGGGGGGAAGUGUGAUGAAGCAACGCCGCGUGCGGGAUGACGGCCUUCGGGUUGUAAACCGCUUUCGCCUGUGACGAAGAGUGAGUGACGGUAAUGGGUAAAGAAGCACCGGCUAACUACGUG